AGAAUCAACGCUGGCGGCGUGCCUAACACAUGCAAGUCGAACGAGAAAGUGGAGCAAUCCAUGAGUAAAGUGGCGCACGGGUGAGUAACACGUGACUAACCUACCCUUGAGUGGGGGAUAACCUAGAGAAAUCUGGGCUAAUACCGCAUAAUACCUUCGGGUCAAAGGAGCAAUUCGCUUAAAGAGGGGGUCGCGGCCGAUUAGUUAGUUGGCGGGGUAAUGGCCCACCAAGACUGUGAUCGGUA
rnacentral:rRNA from 1 species